UACAGUCGUAUAAUUUCGAAAUAAUAAAUCGCGACCAACCUCCAUUCUUUUCAGUUUCCCUGCGCUUGCUCUCCUCUUGCUCCUUAAGUUCUGCUAUUCGGAUGAAAACACCGAAUUUCCGCGGUGAAACGAUAAUUCCCGAAACAGAAAAACCAAGUGCCGAAGAGAAAAUUCGAGGCGUUUUCGUGAUGAAGGAAAUCCUCGUCUCGUAUCGAGCGAAUAUUAAGUAAUCUCGCUGUUAGCCGUUUGACCUGUCACUGCUACUGCACUCCUACUCUUCCGACAAAUUUUAGUCAUGGCGUGGAAUACAGCAAACAGAACCACGGUGUUUGUAUAUUGAGGGAUCUUGAGAGCGCGCACCUUCCUCGCCGGUUUAUAGUCGCGGCCGAUCAAUGGCGGAGAUUUUAGGGCUAGUUCAAACGCUUCUCGAAACCAACGAUUUAUAAUAUCGUUAAAGUCAAGGAACAACAGUAGAAUUUCAACUAUCCGGUCUGCUCAGAAUUGAGACAGUGUCAGAUAAUUAAAUACACCGGACAACUGAACUACAUCUCUACAUUUUCUUUAUUAUCGCUACGACUAAAAUAUGGUAUUGAAGGCCUAAAAUAAUUUUUUAUAUAAAGGAAAGAGCUAUGGAUAAUUCUCGUCGUGUGGAAAGUGGUAUGGGGUCUGCCAAUUUAGAUAUUAAUCAAAUAUUUUGUGAGCAUGAAAGUAUUUAAGAGACUCCCCUGCACCAAUAUCAGGCAAACAAGGUUUAUUUAAAACCUUGUUUUAAAAGGUUAAUUUUAAAUCCGGCAAGAACCAAUUCUUAUUUGGGUGAUAACGGCGCCUCUUAUGGCGAAAGCUAGAAGCUCCG